GAUGAAGAACGCAGCGAAAUGCGAUAAGUAAUGUGAAUUGCAGAAUUCAGUGAAUCAUCGAAUCUUUGAACGCACAUUGCGCCCGCCAGCAUUCUGGCGGGCAUGCCUGUUCGAGCGUCAUUUCAACCCUCGAGCCCCCCCGGGGGCCUCGGUGUUGGGGGACGGCACACCAGCCGCCCCCGAAAUGCAGUGGCGACCCCGCCGCAGCCUCCCCUGCGUAGUAGCACACACCUCGCACCGGAGCGCGGAGGCGGUCACGCCGUAAAACGCCCAACUUUCUUAGAGUUGACCUCGGAUCAGGUAGGAAUACCCGCUGAACUUAAGAAUAUCAAUAAGCGGAGGA
rnacentral:misc_RNA from 1 species